AUUUCUUUGUUUCUUUUUUCUUUUUUUUCUCUUAAGUCUUACUCCAGGGAGAAGAACUGGUUGGAACCAUUGGGCUCCACUUUGGAGUACCUUUUGUAUACUGAACCUCAAGAUAUUUGAACUGUGCCUUUAUUAUCACAAGAAUACCAACCACUUGCUGUACUCAGUAGAUUCAUUCAAUAAUAAUUAAAUCCCAGUACUGCAUAAAAGCUUUCUGAAGUAGGGAGAUUGCUCUCUUUGUAAAGUGCUUGCUCCUCAAACAUGACUUUGGAUAUCUAGAACCCACCUAAAAUCUUGCCAUGUUGGUAUGUGACUGCAGUACACGUGCUGGGCGUGAGGGAAGCUGGGAAUCCCUGAGUUGCUCAAUCUGUGAGCUCCAGAUUCAGUGAAAGAACUAGUCUCAAAAUAUAAUAUAAAGAGUAACAAAGAAAGGCACCCAACAUCAAGUUUUGGCCUCCCCAUAUAAUUGUGCAACCAUAUACACACAUACACAUAACUAAAAACACCUAUAGACACCUACAAACACACACAUAUGUAUGCAUACACUGCACAAAAACAAAUUUGGACUCCGUGAGAUAAUUAUUAAAAUAAUGACAAAAAUUCCAAUACUUUUAGGUAUAGCUUCCUUGACUACAUAAUCUGCAUUGGCAAAUUUUAUAUCAACUUGACAAAAGCUAGUAUCAGAGAAGAGAGCCUGAGUUGAGAAGAUGCCUCUACAAAUUGGGCUACAUUUCUUGAUUUGAGGUUGGUGUGGGAGGGCUCAGUCCAUUGUGGGUGGUGCCAUCCAUAGGCUGGUAACCCUGGGUUCUCAUAGAAAGCCUUGGAGAAUAGGCCAUUGAGCAGCAUACCUCCUUGACCUCUGCAUCAACUCUGGUGUCUAGGUUCCUGCCCUGUUUGAGUUCCUGAUCUCACUGCUUUAAAUGAUGAACAGUUAUAUGGAAGUGUGAAUGAAAUAAACCCUUUCAUUCCAAAGUUACUUUUGGUCACAAUGUUUCAUCACAGAAAUGGUAACCCUAAGAUAUUAUCUUUCAAGUAUAAAAUAAUGUUAAAAUGUGUAUUUGGACCGGGUCCAGUGGGAAAUUUACAGCCAUAAUCAUCUCAAGAUUAAAUGCCUAAAGCUUUAUUCUGAAGUGGCCAAAGCACUUCACACAGCUUACAUCAUCUGUUCUAACAAAAUUAAUAUUAUAAGAUAGAGAAGAGUGAUGUGUAAUUAAUGAUUUGAUGUGUCUGGUUUUCAGCGCUUUG
rnacentral:lncRNA from 1 species